UACGGAGGGUGCAAGCGUUAUCCGGAUUCACUGGGUUUAAAGGGUGCGUAGGCGGUUUGGUAAGUCCGUGGUGAAAUCUCCGAGCUUAACUCGGAAACUGCCGUGGAUACUAUCAAUCUUGAAUAUCGUGGAGGUAAGCGGAAUAUGUCAUGUAGCGGUGAAAUGCUUAGAUAUGACAUAGAACACCAAUUGCGAAGGCAGCUUACUACCCGAAUAUUGACACUGAGGCACGAAAGCGUGGGGAUCAAACAGG
rnacentral:rRNA from 1 species